rnacentral:rRNA from 1 species
UGGGGAAUAUUGGACAAUGGGCGAAAGCCUGAUCCAGCCAUGCCGCGUGUGUGAAGAAGGUCUUCGGAUUGUAAAGCACUUUAAGUUGGGAGGAAGGGCAGUAAGUUAAUACCUUGCUGUUUUGACGUUACCAACAGAAUAAGCACCGGCUAACUUCGUGCCAGCAGCCGCGGUAAUACGAAGGGUGCAAGCGUUAAUAGGAAUUACUGGGCGUAAAGCGCGCGUAGGUGGUUUGGUAAGAUGGAUGUGAAAUCCCCGGGCUCAACCUGGGAACUGCAUCCAUAACUGCCUGACUAGAGUACGGUAGAGGGUGGUGGAAUUUCCUGUGUAGCGGUGAAAUGCGUAGAUAUAGGAAGGAACACCAGUGGCGAAGGCGACCACCUGGACUGAUACUGACACUGAGGUGCGAAAGCGUGGGGAGCAAACA